rnacentral:rRNA from 1 species
CCUACGGGGUGCAGCAGUGGGGAAUAUUGGACAAUGGGCGAAAGCCUGAUCCAGCCAUGCCGCGUGUGUGAAGAAGGCCUUCGGGUUGUAAAGCACUUUCAGUGGGGAAGAAAGCCUUGGGGCUAAUACCCUCGAGGAAGGACAUCACCCACAGAAGAAGCACCGGCUAACUCCGUGCCAGCAGCCGCGGUAAUACGGAGGGUGCGAGCGUUAAUCGGAAUUACUGGGCGUAAAGCGCGCGUAGGCGGUCUGAUAAGCCGGUUGUGAAAGCCCCGGGCUCAACCUGGGAACGGCAUCCGGAACUGGCAGGCUAGAGUGCAGGAGAGGAAGGUAGAAUUCCCGGUGUAGCGGUGAAAUGCGUAGAGAUCGGAAGGAAUACCAGUGGCGAAGGCGGCCUUCUGGACUGACACUGACGCUGAGGUGCGAAAGCGUGGGUAGCAAACAGGAUUAGAUACCCGUGUAGUC